rnacentral:tRNA from 1 species
UCCCUGGUGGCUCAGAUGGUAAAGAAUCUGCCUGUGAUGCAGGAGACCCAGGUUCAAUCCCUGGGUUGGGAA